GGAGAGGUGGCAGAGCGGUUGAAUGCACCGGUCUUGAAAACCGGCAAGGGUUAAAGCCCUUCGUGGGUUCGAAUCCCACCCUCUCCGCCA
rnacentral:tRNA from 1 species